GUGCAGUCGAGCACCGCCGGUGGCCGCGGCCGCAACUGCCCGCCCAGCGCCGCCCGCGCCUCGCCUCUACCGAGGUCACCACGCCGCUGCCACAUGCGACGAUGGCUGCCGCCCCGUUCCCCAUCAAGGUCGCGAGGCACGCAGAUCCGUGCUUCAUCCACAAAAUCUGGGCAGUACAUAUUUCUUUUUGCAUUUCAUUUGUUUUGAUCAUUUGCUUUAGAAGUCACCAAUUGAAUCUAGGCUAUCAAUUUUGAUGCACGUUAUAUGAUUGGAUGAGAUCUUGGCAAAAUUCUGCUCCAUUCCCGUACAUGAACUCAACUGAGACAGCCUAAGGUAAGGGAGGUGGAAGAAAGAAAGGGACUGUUGCAAAAAAUAGGUUUCCAUUCUAUGAUUGAAGGGUUAACCAUUUGCAUUUAGUUUUGUGGUUUUUGUCAACCUGUGAGUUAGUAGAAAUUAUGGAAGGACCACUUUUGUAGUGUUAGAAGAGAAUUUCAGACACCUACAUGUUUUAUUUACAUGCUGUGUUUGUUAUGUAAAGCUGUAAGAUUAGGUACUUUAUCAUAUAUAGAUCUUGCUCGUGUUAUGUAAAAAUGCAAAAUAAUAACAAUAAUAUUAUUGUGCUUUUUAGUUGUAGGAGAUUUUGUAUUAACUUUGUGAUGUGAAUAACCUUCUACAAAAAUGAAGGUUAUAAGGAUCAAUUGCUUAUUAACACGCCAUCACCACUGCUACUGGGAGAAGUUAGUAGGUAAGUCAUACAUGUCAGAAUUCUUCCACUAUGCAAGUUUCUCAUAUGUUUUAUCUACUGCCUUUGUGUGCUGAAAAAAUUGUCCCAGUUCUACAUUGCUGAUUUUUCAAUUUCGUAUAAGUAUGCAAAGAAUUGGAUGAACAAGAUUUGCAAUUAUUAAUCACAUAGGAUUAGAUAGCUUUUAGGAUGAUGAUGAACCAAAGCAAGUGGAAGAGCACUCAGAGGAGACAAUUUUGAUUUUACAUAGUGACGAGGAAGAGCCGAUGCAAGUGGAUCCACUUUGUUUAUUGUACCUUUGAGCAGUCUGCAGUACAAAAUCCACUUCUGUAGAAAUGUAUAUAUAUCUUUUUUUAUUGCUGCAGAGGUGCAUGUACAAAUAUCAACAGUUGUAGUUUUUGUUAUUUGCAUUAUGCUAAUUAAACCCCUGUGAAUUUCAUCCACUUUUCAGAUAACAAAUGAGCUUAUGUUGAAUUUUUUUCUCAAAGCAUAUGGGUUCUUGGAGUGUGCUAUGCAGCAUGGUAUUCCUAGGAUAUUUCCAGAAAAUAGGUGAGUACAGGACUGCAGGUACCAUGUUAAUCCAUGUGAAUCGUUUAUACAUGAUGCUUAUUAACUUGCUUGUGACAUGGGUAUAUUCCCUAGCUCAUAGACUGCAACAGGUCAAUGGCCAUCUCAGCUGCAUAAUUAAACAUAACACUUAACAUUAUUCAAGCUUAGCACCUAGACUUUAGAUGCACAACUUGUUGUUAGCCUGACGGUUUUUACUGCUAAUGAGGAUCAUGUUGGGCUUGUGAAGCAUAAUCACUAUCCUCUGAUUUCAGAAUAUCAGGUGUGGCAAGCUGCUGACUUUUUUCUAGGAUGGAUCUGUUAUUUUACUUGAGAAAUGUAAACAACCAGUUUCUGGAGUGCUAAGUGCUAACUGCUGAUGAGUGCACUCCUGCAGGCACACACAUUUUGCUUAAUACUAACAAUCCUUUUUGCAAAACUACUAAAUAUGAAAGGGGCAGCAUUUUCAUGAAACAUAUUGGGUGGCUUAAGGGUGCUCUCUAGGGUGCAAUUACUGCUUAAGUGCGAAUAGUAUCAGUUUCCUAAAAAAAGGAAGGAAUUUCAAGCUCUUCUCAUCCUGUUCUGUCAUUCUCUUAUGCCAUUGUGUACAUCACCUUUUUCAUAUCCUAGCUGUCUAAUGAUCUUGUGGUACAAUUGUAAGUAGCAUUAUGUGCAAAAUGUGUGUGCGUGUGCCUGAUCCUAUUUUGAAGGAAUUAUUCAGAAGACAAGGACAAUCAUGGAGUGUUUGCACCGGAUUAUAGUACAA
rnacentral:lncRNA from 1 species